rnacentral:lncRNA from 1 species
GCCAAGGGUUACGAUCCACUCCCGUUCUCUUUACCCUUGGCGGAUUGAGCUAACAUUUGUGAUAUCAAUGUUGCGCCAUCUAUCGGAAGAUUAAAGUCACGCCCAUUCCGAAUACAUUAUUCUUGACCAAUGGUAGCACUUGAACUCUUCAAUUUGGAGGUAAAAUCACGGUAACGUCUAGAUUCUACACACUUGGUAAAGCCGGAAACGAAAAUAUACGUCGACAUUCAUGCAUUUGUGCAUGAAACAUACACAG